GUCCUACGGGAGGCAGCAGUGGGGAAUAUUGCACAAUGGGGGAAGCCCUGAUGCAGCGACGCCGCGUGAGCGAUGAAGUAUUUCGGUAUGUAAAGCUCUAUCAGCAGGGAAGAAAAUGACGGUACCUGACUAAGAAGCCCCGGCUAACUACGUGCCAGCAGCCGCGGUAAUACGUAGGGGGCGAGCGUUAUCCGGAUUUACUGGGUGUAAAGGGGGCGCAGACGGCCAUGGCAAGCCCGGUGUGAAAGGUGCGGGCACAACCCGCAGACUGCACUGGUAACUGCCUGGCUGGAGUGUCGGAGGGG
rnacentral:rRNA from 1 species